rnacentral:lncRNA from 1 species
UCAGAGUUUAAAUAAUGAACAUAGCAAUACCACCAAAGAAACAUUCAUUAAAUAUCAAUAUAAAAUAAAGUGGAAGAAAAAGAGAAAAACAGCAAGCUGCUGAUUGCAGUGUUUGCAACCGAGACUCUGUUCUGCAAACCCUGGGGGAUCAGCGUGGAUUGAGCUAUUACUAGAGGUUGGGGUUAAACACGGUAGGCUAUAGACUUUCUGGGGGAGAAACCAGUCAAUUUCUAUUCUGAAAACCUGGCACUGCCUAAGAAAAUCCAAACCCUUCAAACAGAAGCUUCGCAAGAGUGUAGUUAAUGGCAUAAAAGAGUGCUCAGAAACUCACCCACAGAGACUUUCUGAUAGCUGAUGCCAGGAACAGCAAAAAGCAGAAUGUCCAGUUAGGGAUAGUUAACCAAGCCCCUCUCAAUUCUUCUUCUUGAGGCUAUCCUCUCCUCACUGGUCCCCAUUUUAUAAUCAUGCUCAAGGAGCCUAGGCUUCUCUUCUUCUCUUACAGCAUGUUUAAUAUCACUACUUUAUCCAUUCUGUACUGUUGCAGGCUGAAGGUGACAUUACACUUAGAGGGAUCCACAGAUUCAAGAGGCUGCUUGGGGAGGGCAGCACAGUGAAGUACAAGGACUUUGACAUCAGAGAGGCCUGGAUUCAAGUCCCAAUUUCUGUGUGUGGUAACCAGUCUGCAAGACAGCCUGUGAUGGUUCCUGCCUCCUCGUAUUCAUGUCCUUCUUAGUUCCCUUGCGCAUUGAAUCAGGGCUGGCUCUGGGUGACCAAUAGAAUGUGGAGGAAGUGAUGGGGUGUGAAUUCCGAGGCUAGGUCACAAAAGGCAUUGUAUCUUCCACCUCUUAGAUCUCUCUCUCUGCGGAAGCCAGCCACCGCUCUCCAAGGACUCUCGAGCAGCUCCAUCUACAGAUUCACAUGGAGAAGAAUUAAGGGUUCCUGCCAAUCACCAGCACCACUUUGCCAGCCUUGUAAGUGGGCCACCUUGGAAUUGGAGCCUCCAGUUCCUACUGACAUCUGACUGCAACAUCAUGAGAGACCCUGAGUUUGAACCACCCAGCUGAGCUGCUUCUGAGCUAACCCACUGAAACCGUGAAAGUACCUGAAUGAAACAACACCCAGUAGCCACUAGCACACCUAGCUCCCAGAUCUGUUUUUGAUGCCAUUCUUCAGUAAAAGGAAGCAAGGCUGCUUGGAGAAAUUGCUAUCAAGGACUGGGGUAGAAAAUAUACAAGAUGAAAUUGGAGCAUCUUGUAGUGCUUGAAAACAGUUGGCAUCUGUGUGAAGAUGUGAAUGGAGGAGGCAGAGUAGGCAGUGAGUGCCGCAGCCACAGCUUGUGUUCUCUGCAGCCCUGGCACAGAAGAUAGGAACACUCAUGGGGGAUGCGGCCACUGUGAUGUCUUCCCACACAAGAAGUGCCAAGUGCUUUUCUCAUGCUUUUCUGGAUUGUCCCAUGGUGGACGAGUCAGCAGGAGUGAGAUGGAGCAGCACAGUAGAGGGGUACCUGGCAAGGCCCGGAGGGAGGACCCCCUGCCCCAAACAUUUCAAUGAUAUCAGGUUCCUUAGAUCCUGGGAUGAGGAGGUGGACCAGCAGAAGGUGGGCUUGUGAAGGCAGCCCGGGGUCCAAAUCCUCCUGGCUCUUCAGCUUAGCGGGUUAGUUAACAUUCAGAAGCCUUCAUCUCCCAUCUGCAAAAUGGGCAUGUCCAACUCAGAAGCUGCCUUGAAGAAAGGGUCUACCCAGCAUGGUGCGUGGAGCCUAAGCAGUCAGUACUUCAGGACUUCACCCGGCCCCUUUCCAAUAACUGCUGCUGUCGCCCUCACAGGAUGUCACCUUCAGCGUCUGAAAGCUGGGUUUGAUGCGUCUGGAAAGGCGUCCCUGACAGGCGUCGUUGCCAGGAGCCCCUAGUGCCACCAGCAGCCAGCAGGGGAGGGCGUCCUCUGCCCGCUCACUUCUGACCCUUCUCUCGUUGCACCCGGAACAUGGUGCAGCUGGGAGCAGCCUGGGCUGCGCGGAAGGCUCAGAUUUGGGGACGGCCCUUGCCAGUGACUGUGAGCUGGGGUGUCUUGGAAACUCCCAGUCUCAGCUUCUCCAUUUAUAAGAUGAGAAUGAUCAUACCAGACUCAGGCAAGGUUGUUUGUGCAUUAGUGAAAUCAGACGUAUUAAAUAAAGUACCACAUUGAUCGUGGAGUUGUUGAAUAACCAAGAACACGCCUAUCUGUCUCCAAAAAAUAAAUGUUGAAAAUGAUGAGGGCGUGGCUCUACGUUGGGAAGGGAAAUAGGGUGCUUGGAUGAGAGAAUCCUGAGGCAUGGGACAGUGGAGGGAUCCAGGAUAGUUCCAUAAGAAAAUGUGCUUGCACUAUCGUUUCUUUGCAGAGGCUCUUGUGUGCUGGGAGGCUGGCUGGGAUGGGGAGUUGGUGGCAGAGAAUAGUGUCUGUUUUCUUCCUGGUAGCUGGAGAGCUCUGCGACAGAGGACUGAGGUCAUUAGGAACAAGCGGGCAGGUAGGGACAGGCGUUGGAGUGGACUAGCCCUGGUUCCCCUGAAGCUCUCUGGGGUGGAGGUGAAGGAGCUUCUAGGGCAAAGUUUGCCAGUUAAGGAGGAGACACUGUUUGGGCUGCUCCCCGAAAUGGAGAACUUUUGUGUGUGCCUGGAGUGUUUCUAUUUGAGAAAAACUAUUUGAGAGGUGGGAAGGUGAAUUAUUUACCAGUAAGUUUAUCCUUCUCUCCUCAGAUUCUGCAGAACUUGCAGACCCAUAAACAAAUUAGAAAUUGCUUUUCUCCUCUUGCUUAACCUAAAUUUCUUUGUGGAAGCUGAAGGAAAAUAUGAGUAAUUUUCUAACAUAUUCAGUUACAGAGACAGCAAAGAGAAAUAUUCAAGAAAAAAAAAAAACAAACCCUGAGGUGCUACUGACUUCGUGUAUGUCUUAGCUGUAGACAGAAUUGGGAUUUCCUAAUAUGGGUUUGUUCCAGUACAGCCCCUCAGAAAGAUUUUCAUCAGCAAAACACACAUUGGAGGACCAGCUGCUGUGCAGUUGUCUCUUUUAAACCAUUUUCUCACUUCAUUGCUAAUUUUCCCAGCACCUUUCUUCUAACAGUUCUACAUUUUUGAUCUGCAAACAACCUGAGAUUAUUUCUUUCCCUCUUGGUAAAUAAAAGAAAUUUAAAGUAGAUUCUAGAAUGGGUUAGACUGUUUUAUUCCAGAUCCCUCAAAAAGAAGGGAUAAAUACUUCUUUAAAAGAAUCCCUUUAAAAGAAGGGAUAAAGUUUAAGCCAUAAAUACAAUAAAUGGUGAACUGCCUGGUUAACUGAGGGCUGAUUCCCGGAGACGCAACCAGGGGGAGCUUCCUGAGCAAGGUAGCUACUCCCUGCCAAGGUAACCACAGCUUUCUAACAAUAAGUAAAAUGUUUCUACUCAUAUCAUAGGGACCCUACAACAACAUGGCCCUUUUCUCUCUGCCAUGCAAAAAAGCAUCAAGAAAGUAAGAAGGGGCAUUUUUGAGAACAAACUAGAAAUCUUAGCAUCAUGUCUUCUCUCUAAUUAUGUUGGAAACAGGCUUUGAAAAAGAAAAAAACUGAGGAGAAGAUCACUAAAUAGAAUUCAAUAAAAAUGGCUUUUGAUAUUCUGUAGCUUGAAAGCAUUUGUAUUGGGUUUAUGUUCUCAUGGUUUUUGUUUCAAAGAGUUUAAGGUAAAUUUGAAUGUCCCAUUCCUCUGAGAACUCAGAGAAAGCCAGGUUGAUUAAGAAGUAAUUAAGAGGCUGGG